rnacentral:rRNA from 1 species
CGUGUAGGCGGUUGGUCAAGUCGGGUGUGAAAGCCUGGGGCUCAGCCCCAGAAGUGCAUCCGAAACUAGCCAGCUAGAGCGCGAUAGAGGAGGGUGGAAUUCCUGGUGUAGCGGUGAAAUGCGUAGAUAUCAGGAGGAACACCGGCGGCGAAGGCGGCCCUCUGGAUCGUUGCUGACGCUGAGACGCGAAAGCGUGGGAGCAAACAGGAUUAGAUACCCUGGUAGUCCACGCCUUAAACGAUGGGUACUAGGUGUUCGGGGUGUUGACCCCCUGAGUGCCGCAGUUAACGCAUUAGUACCCCGCCUGGGGACUACGGCCGCAAGGUUAAA